AAAGGGAGACCUAAUUCGGGUAGGAGACGAAAAAAAAGUAGUCCCUACCAAGAAUCAAUCCCAAAAGGUCGGAGCGAGGCGAAAUUGGCUUUCAAACUAGGUUCUGGGUUCACACAAGGCCUGAAUCAGGAACAAGGGCUAUUAGCUCAGGUGGUUAGAGCGCACCCCUGAUAAGGGUGAGGUCCCUGGUUCGAGUCCAGGAUGGCCCACCUGCACAGGUGGCAAAAACAAAAAAGCUCCGAAUCAGCACCUUAUCUUACUUAUAUAGUAAGAGAGAAUGCUGGCUCUGAGUUCAGAGUCCAGAGGAACCUUGAAAACUGCAUAGAGCUAGGUGAAAAAGCCAAAAAAGAAGACCGUCAG
rnacentral:tRNA from 1 species